rnacentral:rRNA from 1 species
AUUGAACGCUGGCGGCAGGCCUAACACAUGCAAGUCGAGCGGAUGAAGGGAGCUUGCUCCUGGAUUCAGCGGCGGACGGGUGAGUAAUGCCUAGGAAUCUGCCUGGUAGUGGGGGAUAACGUCCGGAAACGGGCGCUAAUACCGCAUACGUCCUGAGGGAGAAAGUGGGGGAUCUUCGGACCUCACGCUAUCAGAUGAGCCUAGGUCGGAUUAGCUAGUUGGUGGGGUAAAGGCCUACCAAGGCGACGAUCCGUAACUGGUCUGAGAGGAUGAUCAGUCACACUGGAACGGAGACACGGUCCAGACUCCUACGGGAGGCAGCAGUGGGGAAUAGUAGACAACGGGCGAAAGCCUGAUCCAGCCAUGCCGCGUGUGUGAAGAAGGUCUUCGGAGUGUAAAGCACGUUAAGCUGGGAGGAAGGGCAGUAAGUUAAUACCUUGCUGUUUUGACGUUACCAACAGAAUAAGCACCGGCUAACUUCGUG